rnacentral:rRNA from 1 species
UACGAAGGGGCUAGCGUUGUUCGGAAUCACUGGACGUAAAGCGCACGUAGGCGGAUCUUUAAGUCAGGGGUGAAAUCCCGAGGCUCAACCUCGGAACUGCCUUUGAUACUGGGGAUCUCGAGUCCGGGAGAGGUGAGUGGAACUGCGAGUGUAGAGGUGAAAUUCGUAGAUAUUCGCAAGAACACCAGUGGCGAAGGCGGCUCACUGGCCCGGAACUGACGCUGAGGUGCGA